rnacentral:rRNA from 1 species
UGCGAACUCCUACGGGAGGCAGCAGUGGGGAAUUUUGGACAAUGGGCGCAAGCCUGAUCCAGCCAUGCCGCGUGUAUGAAGAAGGCCUUAGGGUUGUAAAGUACUUUUGUUAGGGAAGAAAAGGGAAGUGCUAAUACCACUUUUUGCUGACGGUACCUAAAGAAUAAGCACCGGCUAACUACGUGCCAGCAGCCGCGGUAAUACGUAGGGUGCGAGCGUUAAUCGGAAUUACUGGGCGUAAAGCGAGCGCAGACGGUUACUUAAGCAAGAUGUGAAAUCCCCGAGCUCAACUUGGGAACUGCGUUUUGAACUGGGUAGCUAGAGUGUGUCAGAGGGGGGUAGAAUUCCACGUGUAGCAGUGAAAUGCGUAGAGAUGUGGAGGAAUACCGAUGGCGAAGGCAGCCCCCUGGGAUAACACUGACGUUCAUGCUCGAAAGCGUGGGUAGCAAACAGGAUUAGAUACCCCGGUAGUCCUAUC